AUGUUCUCUGUAGCUCUGCUGCUGCUGCUGGCUGCUGGAUCCUGUGUGAAGUGUGAACAGUUGAUACAGCCAGCCUCUGUGACUGUGCAGCCAGGUCAACGUCUGACCAUCACCUGUCAGGUCUCUUAUUCCGUUAGUAGUUACUACACAGCCUGGAUCAGACAGCCUGCAGGGAAAGGACUGGAGUGGAUAGGAAUGAGACAAGGUUCAACUACAUACUACAAAGAUUCACUGAAGAGCAAGUUCAGUAUUGAGAGAGGAGGACAGAGGACAGAGGACACACAGUUUAACAUGAUGGACUAUAGGACAGGACUGCUGCUGCUCACUGUCUGCUGGGCAGGUGUUGAUGGUCAGACUCUGACAGAAUCUGAACCAGUGACUAAAAGGCCUGGAGAAUCUCACAGAUUGACCUGUACAGCCUCUGGAUUCACAUUCAGUAGCCACUGGAUGGCCUGGGUCAGACAGGCUCCUGGAAAAGGACUGGAGUGGGUUGCUACUAUGCACCCUACUAGCAGUGCCCACAUCUACUACUCUGAGUCAGUGAAAGGCCGGUUCACCAUCUCCAGAGACAACAACAGACAGCAGGUGUAUCUGCAGAUGAACAGUCUGAAGGCCGAGGACACAGCAGUGUAUUACUGUGCCAGAGACACACAGUGAGAGACAGUAACAGGA